GUAAUACUCCCUCCGUCCGGAAUUACUUGUCGCGAAAAUGGAUGUAUCUAGAACUAAAAUUCGUCUAGAUACAUCCAUUUCCCCGACAAGUAUUUCCGGACGGAGGGAGUACUUU
rnacentral:pre_miRNA from 1 species